rnacentral:ncRNA from 1 species
AUCUUAUCGAGAGUGGCGGAGGGACAGGCCCGAUGAAGCCCGGCAACCGGUUGACGAAUUUCAAAUUUCAUUUUGAGAUCGGCAAUGUCAUGGUGCUAAUUCCUACAUGGUCGUGAUAGGUUUCACGGCUUUGCGCAGAUGAGAG